UACGUAGGGGGCCAGCGUUGUCCGGAAUCAUUGGGCGUAAAGAGCGCGUAGGCGGCCCUGUAAGUCCGCUGUGAAAGUCAAGGGCUCAACCCUUGAAUGCCGGUGGAUACUGCAGGGCUAGAGUCCGGAAGAGGCGAGUGGAAUUCCUGGUGUAGCGGUGAAAUGCGCAGAUAUCAGGAGGAACACCGAUGGCGAAGGCAGCUCGCUGGGACGGUACUGACGCUGAGGCGCGAAAGC
rnacentral:rRNA from 1 species